rfam:Camelus ferus unplaced genomic scaffold scaffold325, whole genome shotgun sequence.
GGAGGGUACAGCUCAGUGGUAGAUUGUGUGCUUGCCAUGCACAAGGUCCUGGGUUCAAUUCCCAGUCCCUCCA